rnacentral:misc_RNA from 1 species
AGUAAAGGUUGACAAAAUUGAUUUUAAGAAGACAGCCACUACUCGCUCAUGACAUUGAUCCAUGUUCUAAUGAUCUCUGUACUUCUUGUAGUUCCCUAGAAUUUGUUUAGUUGAGGGGUCUUAUGUGACUAUAGAAGCCUUGUUAUCCUGUUUCUAAAUCUAAACACGAUACAUAUGGAGAUGAAUAAAUGUGUUUUUAUUGAUGAGUCUGGUGUCCCAAAAUUUCUUUUAUAUUGCGAUUGUGGAAGUGGUAGACUGCUGGCAUGGAAUUGUUGCUGUUGUGUUUCUUCGUUAUUGUUAUUAUUAUCCUUCUUAUUAUUUCCAAAG